rnacentral:rRNA from 1 species
GAUGAACGCUGGCGGCGUGCCUAAUACAUGCAAGUCGAGCGAACAGACGAGGAGCUUGCUCCUCUGACGUUAGCGGCGGACGGGUGAGUAACACGUGGAUAACCUACCUAUAAGACUGGGAUAACUGCGGGAAACCGGAGCUAAUACCGGAUAAUAUAUUGAACCGCAUGGUUCAAUAGUGAAAGACGGUUUUGCUGUCACUUAUAGAUGGAUCCGCGCCGCAUUAGCUAGUUGGUAAGGUAACGGCUUACCAAGGCAACGAUGCGUAGCCGACCUGAGAGGGUGAUCGGCCACCCUGGAACUGAGCCACGGUCCAGACUCCUGCGGGAGGCAGCAGUAGGGAAUGUGCCGCAGUGGGCGAGAGCCUGACGGAGCAACGCCGCGUGAGUGAUGACGGUCUUCGGAUCGUAAAACUCUGUUAUUAGGUAAAAACAAAUGUGUAAGUAACUGUGCACGUCUUGACGGUACCUACUCAGAAAGCCACGGCUAACUACGUG